rnacentral:rRNA from 1 species
UACGUAGGGGGCUAGCGUUGUCCGGAAUCAUUGGGCGUAAAGAGCGUGUAGGCGGCCCGGUAAGUCCGCUGUGAAAGUCGGGGGCUCAACCCUCGGAUGCCGGUGGAUACUGUCGGACUAGAGUGCGGAAGAGGCGAGUGGAAUUCCUGGUGUAGCGGUGAAAUGCGCAGAUAUCAGGAGGAACACCGAUUGCGAAGGCAGCUCGCUGGGACGUUACUGACGCUGAGGCGCGAAAGCGUGGGGAGCAAACAGG